UUUUAGUUCUCCCCAUUUAUAUCGAGACGGACGGAGUAGAAUUUUUCACAAUUUCAUGGCAAAACCACCUUUACCUUGUUAUACCAAUAGUGCAAGAAGCUGCACCGCAAGAAUACGGUGGAAGUAGAGUGUAAUCGACACGGACGUGAUAUAUUUUGUUUUUUUCAUCAAAAAUCCGAUCAAUUCCAUUGCUCAAAUCCAUUUAACUAACCUAAGAAAUCAUCGAAUUACUAACAAAAAAGAACACAGAAAAGAACAAAUGGGUUCAUCACCAAGAGUUCAAUCGUACCUGUUGAAACUGGGAGGAAUACGGAAACCCAUGAAGAUUCUAUCUGCAAUUUUGGUGGUGCUAGUGGUAACUUGUUCGAUGAGAAAUUCAAAUACCCAUUUUCCAUCGAAAUGAUCACAAAUUUCAGGAGGCCUUUCACUUUCUUCAAUAAUCUUCUUGGAACUGUGAAGAAGUUAAUAUGGAUAUAGUUGUUGAAGAUCUUCCAUCAUUUUUAAAAAGGUUUAGUACCUUGCAAAACCUAUACCAACUUGAACAACAUUUAGCUGAUGAGAAUGUAAGGCUUGCUUUGAAAGCGGCUUUAGACAAUGCUGAUACAGAACUGGUUCAGUCUCACGUAAAGACAGUUGGGGACAUCAAGCGCUCCCUCUCUGAAUUUUGAAAAACAACAACAAGAUGGAGUGAUGGAGGCCAAAAGGUGUUCUAACUGUGGAAAAAUUAAAAAGCUCAAGACCGCAGCGGCGAAGGUGAUGACUGAACUAGAUGUCAUACAAAGAUUUAAAGCUGCUGAUCAUAUAGGGGAUGAUAAAGUUCUUUGAAGGAAAGAAAUGAAAAACCGAGUCAGAGCAUUAUGGUCAGCCUCAACUGGUUCUCAAACUCAAACUACAAACUCCAUGGGGUCGUAUGCUAGUAGCGACGAGUUGGAUUCACCUCCACAUCAUGCUAUGCUGUUGGAUCACCGUCGCAUUAAUGGGUCCACAUCGUGCUAUGCUGUUGGAUCACGUAGCACCAGCAGUUCCACAUCAUCCAAUAGUUCCCAAGAGGAGGACUACCCAGCCAGAAGGAGGAGUCGAUAUUCCAAGGUCGAUCUACCACGUAGCACCAGCAGUUCCACAUCAUACAGUAGUUCCCAAGAGGAGGACUACCCAAUUAGAAGGAGGAAUCGAUAUUCCAAGGCUGAUCAACCAAAGAAAAAGGCGGGAUGUGUUAGAAGAUUUAUGGACAAGAUUGCAGGCAUGUUCCUUCAUGAUCGCUGUGAGGAUACAGAUGCAUCAUCAUCCGAGGAUAGUAAUUCACGAGAUCAUCAUCAUUCUGUUGAGAAACCUGUGGGCAAUGGUAUACUCCGCUAUGAAAGAAAAGACACAUGCGAAAGAGAAGAAAAACAUCAGUUAACAAGCCAAGGACAUUUCCAAACUUAUAGAAAGGCAUCAGACGGUACUUAGAACUGUAAGUUAAUGACGGCACCAAAAAUAUGCCUAGAAGUGUGCCUGUUAUCUUCUCUCCUUAUGUCAGACUGGAAAUUAUAAAGUGGGAUCUUUUCCACGAAGAAUUAAACAUCAAUUUCAUUUCUUUUAUGUUUUUCAACUCUUUCUAAAUUCUUAUCUUGCAAUUUCCUAGAAAUUUGUUCGGUUUCGACUAAGAGGUUUCUAUUGUUUGAUUGUGAUAAUUUGGGUGAUUCAGUCUUCAUGGCAAUUGCUUGUAUCCACACCUCUCUUUGCCAUAUUUUUCUAUUUUUGGAUUAUUCCUGUUUGAAGUCCCAAUUAUUGUUGUUUUUUAUCCUAAGACUAAAUAUCAUUCACUGAUUUUGAGUAAUGAAAUUGUGUUGCAGUGAUUCUAAUUAAACUGUUAAUUCAACUUGACAUUACUAUAGUCGAUGUUUAUAAGUGUAGUUGUUUUGUUUUUCUUGAUGAUGACUUAAGGAUCUGGUGGCAAGUACAUUUUCUGAUGGUGCAUUUCUUGGGUCCAUUGUAAGUGGUUUAUCAGAUGCUGUAGGGGUUUCCAGUUGAGUGCUUUAAUAUAGAUUCUUGGGCCUUUUCUAAGGUAAAAUCCUUGUGUUCUUAACUAUUUGAUUUCUUUUUUAUAUAAGUUCAAGUGAAGCUUAUUAGAAAAAAUUUCUUUGACCAUAUAUGCUUGCAUGGGGAGAAUGCAAAGCCUGAAAGGUAUGCUUCUUGGGAGGUUUCUAGUUGGAACAGGAAUAGGUAUUGGUCCGUCUGUUGCAUCUCUAUAUAGGACUGAGAUAUGCUUUUCGCUGAUCCAUCUGCAUUUCCUGCUCAAUAUUGGCUCUUGCAAUGGUGUCCUGUGGGGAGAGUCCUCAAUGGCUCAUAAGAUCAGUAUGUCAACCCUUAUUUUUGCCCUCCUAAGGGAUUCUCGUUUUCCUUUGAUCUACAUCUGUUUGCUACAUGUUUUUUUUGGCUCUCGACUGUCCUGUAAAAAUGUUCCGCAAUCUCUCCUAAUGUUUUGAAUGAGAAUUUCCUUGUUAAAAAACUUAAACCUUUUAAUUGUUAACAAUAUGUUUGAAACAAUCAAGACAGAGAUCUGCCAAUUCAGCUCUGCUCCAGACAUUAUCUAGUCUUAACUCCUUUGCACGUUUGUUCUGAUAGUUAUAUCCAUGACCCAUUUGAAUUCAACACAAAUAUAUCUUGGUUUCUAUUGGGGUGGAACAGAAAAGUAGAUCCGCCGAGGCGGAAGCUGAAUUUGAGAAGCUCUUGGGAGGAUUGCACGUCAAAUCUGCGAUGACAGACCUAUCAAGUCAGAGGAGAUGAGGUAGACACUGUAAAGUUUUUGAAGUUAUUAUAUGCCGCCACUUCAGAGGUAUCUGUGAAAAUUCUUCGCUCAUUCAUUUUCUCUGUUAGAAUAUGUAGUGUGAUUCUUGUUAUUUCAUUUUAGAUUACUCGUUCAUUUUUCCCUUUUGCCAGUUGUUCUUAUUGGAUCAGUGUUACUCACUUUUUAUCAAUCACUCGAAGCCAUAUAUAUAAAAAUUAAUACCAGAUCUUUGUAAGUUCCUGUAAAAGGCCUCAGUAAAUGUUAAUUAAGACUAAAGAUACUUUUGGCAAACGGGAGAUAAUCGCGAUUCAUGAAAUUGUUGUAUGAAACUUCUUCUGCAGCUGUAUUCGAUCCAUCACUGAAUACAAAGCUCGUCCCUGAUUGUUGAAUUUAUUCCAGCUUUUUGUCUUUAGGAACUGCAGGUAUUGGUGUUGUUUAGAAGUUCUGCUAGAUACUUGUUAUUGGAAUGGAAGUACUUGAAAUUGAUAUAACUGGUGUAAUGUUAGCAAUGCAUGUUUUCAUCUAGCAAUCUAUCUAAAUUGUAAAAUAUCUUGUUGUUAAAUUUAUUUGUUCCCUGCAUUGAGUAACUUGUUUUAAAUUGUGAAUUCAUGGAAGUGGUGGAGUGCGUCAAGCACCCAGGGAAGUUUGCACGCCUUGGAGGAAAGCUGCUCAAGGGAAGAUUCAGAAUUUGAGGAAUUGUAAGUCUGCAAUUCUGCACGAUCUGUUCAGAUUGAAAUUUACUCAUUGGAUUUGUGCAUGAAACUUAUUCUUAUCAUAGUGGAGGGUAUGCCAAUGGAAUCUCUGUGUGAAGCAAAAUAAAAGGAAGAGGGAGAAAAUAUCAGAAGCGUAGCCGCAAACACUGUAUAUGAUAUAUCUUGGAGCCACAAAAGCUGCAGUAGUUGACGCUGGCAGAAUGGUCUCGACGAGAAAAAAUAUACUAAACUAUUAAAAUUUAGUUCUAUGCCACACUGCAAUGAACCAUGGAAGCUUAACUUUUUUACAACAGAAAGAAACUUGUACUGCCUACUGUCCUGUGCAAAUUUUUAGCUUUCAGAAAAUCUCAAACAAUUUUUUGGCAGGGAUAAAAGCUUUUCAAAGAGA